CUAGUGUUCAGCGAAAUCUCCAGAGUAUAAAAGUACCCCCAUGUACAUGUUUAAUGGUGUUUUCAAAAGUUACAGAAUCAGAUAGAGUUUACCAUUUUGCCUGAUUGGUUUAACAACCCAUGGUAUUCAAUAUGGGUUAUGUCAGUCUAUAUUUGUAGCCACUUAGUAACAAACACUGCCCAAAGUUAACAUUCAUAUUUAUGAAUGUGAUACGAUUUACAGUUUUAAAAUACUAAUAUUUGGGUUCAGAGACGUCUCCAGAGUAUAAC